AUGGGCUGCUCGUCUUCUCUGUCAGCAAACAGUACUGGAGGCUUGGGCAAUAUCAACAACGAGAACUCUGCAACUGACUCAAAGAAUUUGAAAGUGAAGUUGGUUUUACUGGGGGAUUCUGGUGUUGGGAAAAGCUGCAUUGUUCUUCGCUUUGUCCGUGGUCAGUUUGAUCCCACAUCAAAGGUAACUAUUGGUGCAUCAUUUCUGUCACAAACAUUGGCAUUGGAGGACUCCACAACAGUGAAGUUUGAAAUAUGGGACACUGCUGGCCAGGAGAGGUAUGCUGCAUUAGCACCUCUGUACUACAGGGGAGCUGGUGCUGCAAUCGUUGUCUAUGACAUAACAAGUGCAGAAUCAUUCAACAAAGCACAAUAUUGGGUGAAGGAACUUCAGAAACACGGUAGCCAGGAUAUGAUCAUGGCUUUGGUUGGAAAUAAGGCUGACCUACAUGAAAAACGCAUUGUGUCUUCUCAGGAAGCACAGGAGCACGCAGACAUGAGCAAUAUGUUUUUCCUUGAGACAUCGGCGAAGACAGCUGAUAAUAUAAACCAACUAUUCGAGGAAAUUGCCAAGAGGCUGCCAAGGUCUACACCACCGUCCUGA
rnacentral:rRNA from 1 species